UAUUAUACAAAUAAUGAUUGUUUAUGAGUGCAAUGGUAAGAAUAUUUUCAUGAGGUGAAAGAUGGAAUAUGUACCAUUCAACGAGGCGACAGCCGAGUUUAAUGGAACAUUCCAUCUUUCACCGAAUGAAAAUAUUCUUACCAUUGCACGAAUAAAAACAUUCAUUAUUUGUUUUAUA